UACGGGGGGGGGCAAGCGUUGUUCGGAAUUACUGGGCGUAAAGGGCUCGUAGGUGGCCAACUAAGUCAGACGUGAAAUCCCCAGGCUCAACUUGGGAACUGCGUCUGAUACUGGAUGGCUUGAAUUCGGGAGAGGGAUGCAGAAUUCCAGGUGUAGCGGUGAAAUGCGCAGAUAUCAGGAGGAACACCGGUGGCGAAGGCGGGUCUCUGGGCCGAUACUGACGCUGAGGAGCGAAAGCGUGGGUAGCGAACAGG
rnacentral:rRNA from 1 species